GAUCCCUACUCUGUCCUCUUUGGGCAUACACAACACUUGUAUCACCCUCCUUCUUCCUCUGACCAUUCCCAAAGGGCUUCUUCGAUCCAGACGACGAAGCACUACCCUGUAUCUUUCCCAUCUUUAACCAGCUUUCUAUUCUUUCUCCGGCCACCACUAUAUCAGCAAAGUUGGUAACCGGGUAUCCAACCAUCCUCUCUGCAAACGUCCCCUGAAGGGUACCCAUGAAUAGAUCAGACAUUUCU
rnacentral:lncRNA from 1 species